rnacentral:SRP_RNA from 2 species
UGGGCGGAGCUGCGCGAUGAAGCUUCAUGAACCAUGUCAGAUGGGGAACCAAGCAGCAUUAAGUGAAACGCUUUGUGCGCCGCAGUUUUCUGCCCACUG